CGGACUAUAGUUUACUAUAGUUAGUAGCAAACGGGUGAGUAAUACAUAUUUAACAUACCCCGCUCAAAAGAAUAGCUACCUGAAAAGGUAAUUAAUACUUUAUAGGAAAGAAAAACACAAGUUUUUAUUUUUAAAGAUUGUUUAGAUCGGUGCGGGAUUGGGAUAUGUCCUAUUAGAUAGUUGGUGGAGUAAAAGCCUACCAAGUCAAUGAUAGGUAGCUGGUCUUAGAGGAUGAACAGCCACAAUGGGAUUGAGAUACGGCCCAUAUUCCUACGGGAAGCAGCAGUAGGGAAUCUUCCACAAUGGACGAAAGUCUGAUGGAGCAAUUUCGUGUGAGUGAUGAAGGUCUUUUUGAUUGUAAAACUCUUUUAUUAGAGACAAAUGAAUUUUUUGAAAAAUUAAUUCUUGAUGGUAUCUAGUGAAUAAGUGACAGCUAACUAUGUGCCAGCAGCUGCGGUAAUACAUAGGUCACAAGCAUUAUUCGGAUUUAUUGGGCGUAAAGCAAGCGCAGGCGGAUGAAUAAGUUUAUUGUUAAAAGCAGUUGCUCAACAAUUGUUUGCAAUAAAUACUAUUUAUCUAGAAUAUAGUAGAGAGUUCUGGAAUUCAAUAUGGAGCGGUGGAAUGUGUAGAUAUAUUGAGGAACACCAGAGGCGAAGGCGAGAACUUAGGCUAUUAUUGACGCUUAGGCUUGAAAGUGUGGGGAGCAAAUGGGAUUAGAUACCCCAGUAGUCCACACCUUAAACAAUGGGUAUUAGAUAUCAGGACUUGAGUCCUGGUUUUGUAGCUUACGUGUUAAAUACCCCGCCUGGGUAGUAUGUAUGCAAAUAUGAAACUCAAAGGAAUUGACGGGGACCUGAACAAGUGGUGGAGCAUGUUGCUUAAUUCGAUAAUACACGAAAAACCUUACCAAGGUUUGACAUCCCACACAAAGCUAUAGAAAUAUAGCAGAGGUUAUUGUGGUGACAGGUGGUGCAUGGUUGUCGUCAGCUCGUGUCUUGAGAUGUUUGGUUAAGUCCCGCAACGAGCGCAACCCUACUCUUUAGUUAAAUGUCUAAAGUGACAGAAGUGUAAACUAUAGGAAGGAUGGGAUCACGUCAAAUCAUCAUGCCCCUUAUACCUUGGGCUGCAAACGUGCUACAAUGGCAGAAACAAUGUGAUGCAAUUUAGCAAUAAUGAGCAAAUCACCAAAUUCUGCCCUAGUUCGGAUAAAAGGCUGCAAUUCGCCUUUUUGAAGUUGGAAUCACUAGUAAUCCUGUGUCAGCUAUAUCAGGGUGAAUGCGUUCCCAGGUCUUGUACACACCGCCCGUCAAACUAUGAGAGGAGUGUAUAUUUAAAAAUACAUUAAUUUGUAUCUAAAAUAAAUGCUCUGAUUGG
rnacentral:rRNA from 1 species